AGGCUACAAAAGAAAGCUCCUGAGCAUAAUCCUAUUUCCUGUAGUCCAAACGAGAAAUAAUUAAUUACUGUUAAUCCUAUUUAAUUACAGUAUUAAAAUAAUUAAAUAAUAAAUAUAUCAACAAACAAGUAGAUCUUCAUAAUUUGGAGUUGGAAAAGAGUGCAUCGGUGAGGGUAUGGGUAUUAUUGUACUUUUAGAUGAAACUGUUAAAUCUUACCAGAGCAUUUUGUCACUGUUAAAAAACCGAUAAUGGCUGAUUCCCAAAACCCCAGUACAUCUCAAAACCUUCCUCCUCCUUCCCUAAUUCUAAAAUUCCUUCAGAAAUCAGAAACGGUAACUCCAACUCAAACACUAACGCCAAUUUCUCUGGCCAGAAGGCCCACUACCGAACCCAUCCGAUGCGACCAACCCGGACCCGGCGACGCUAAGGGAGCAGUGGAGGUUCGCAAUCAAGCAGUACAGCAGAUGGUACUCCCACGCUUGGGACACAUCAAUUCUGGCCGGUCUCUCGUUCUUCGCUCUGGGUUGAAUUAUCAGGGCCCGAACCUUCAGCCCUCUUUCAGGAAAUAGAAUUCUUCUUCUGAAUCCUCUCCUUCAACUAAUGAUGCCAAUGAAGCUCGCCAGUAAUAUUUGUUGAGGAUGGCCGUAAAUGGAUCCUUCUAUUGCAUAUUUGUGGGUUUGUUGUGAGCUCAGAAUUUGAUCACCUGUGGUUUCUCUGUGCAAGGCAUUCAACCUUCACCAAGGAUACUGGAGCCAGUUUGUUCUGUCUAACACCAGCUGAAGGAAAAUAACAAAACUAGUGCAGCAGCUGGGAUAUGGGUUUGCAAGAGAUACAUGCAUAAAAAAAGGAAGAGCAAAGGGGGUUGGCAAACUUUUGCGGAAACUACAAAUUUUCUUGGUAACCAAACACAAUAAAUGCACACCUCUCUCGUCAUGCCCUGUAUAAGUUGCGGACACAGAUCCCUAAUCCGCGACGACAGCACUGGCAACCUGGUAUGCGAAUCAUGUGGCACCGUCCAAGAAUACGAUAACUAUGAGGCUCGCACCGGCGGCAUCAAUGGUCCAGAAGGUGUGUUAAUUCGUCUGGGAACUUCAGGUACUGGUAGUGUCUUAAAUUACCGAGACAAAAAACUUUACGAGGCAAAUAAGCUUAUUGAUGAAAUAACCUUCAGAUUGGAUUUAGUAGGCAAAAAAGUUAGCGAAAUUAAGUCCAUGAUCGAUAAAGUUACCGAAAGUGAGUUUGGGCAAGGUGAUUGGUUUCCAGUUUUGAUAGGUGCAUGUGCUUAUAUCGUAGUGAGAAGUGAUAAUAAGUCUUUGUCUGUUGCAGAAAUUGGUAAUGUGAUUGGUUGUGAUGUUUAUGAAUUAGGUAGAAUGAUAAGGCGUGUUGUUGAUCAUUUGAAUAUAAAGCUGCCUGAGUUUGAUAUAGUAACAUCAUUUGAGAAGGCAGUGAGGAAUUUGUUGGAUACAGGGAGGGUUGACAGUGAUAAAGUUGAAAGAAUGCGGGAACAAGGGGUGUUUUUGAUACAAUGUGGGAUUAAGUGGUUUUUAACCACAGGGAGAAGGCCCUUGCCUAUUGUGGCAGCGGUGCUGGUGUUGGUGGCAGAGUUGAAUGGGGUUGAGUGUGUGAAAAUUGAGGAGGUGGCUAGGGAUAUGCAUGCAGCAGUGUCUACAUGUAGAUUGAGGUAUAAGGAGUUGUUAGAGGCACUUGUGAAAGUUGCACAGGCAUUGCCAUGGGGGAAGGAUGUGACCUUGAAGAAUAUUGUGAAGAACGCACCAUUUGUGAUUCGGUAUAUGGAGAUCAAGUCGAUGGCAAAGUCUGAUGGACAGGGGGACGGUUUGGGUUAUAUUGGAUUUGAUUUUGGGGAGGUGAUUAUUCAGUGUUUGAGGAAGGAUGUUGAGUACGGGGUUGAGGAUGAUAGCACAGAAUGUGAUGAUUCUCGGUAUUUUGAGGUGAGAAAUAGACAAGGCUUGAAUAACAUGGGAGACAAUGAUGUGGAUAAGCUUCAGCUUUCACAUGAGUGCUUGUCCUUGGCUUAUGACAAGUUCUUACAUGAGGGUGGAAGAGAUAAAUAUGCUGGAAAUGUUGAAAGAGUUAAUAGUACGAAAAGGAAUAGAGUGUAUGAUCUUCAUCCAACUGAAUGGUGGGAUGGGAAAUCAGAUUUAAGCAAGAAGCUUUUGCUGAAACGAAUAUUAGAAAAAGAUGUGGGAUUAAAUCCUAUGCCUCCUUCUUUUGUUAAUGGCCAUAUGGCAGUUGAGAGGAGAAGAGCAAAGAUAAAUGCUGCAAAGCUUCGUAUUGAAAGGAUUAUGCAUCCACGGAAUGCUGAUUCAGGUGUUGGUAGUGACUUUUGCUUUCUGGAAGCUCGGAAGAGAAAACGAAAAGCAAGGGCAAAAGGACUUGAUUGGGAAGAUUUUGUCAUUGAGACCCUCCUUCUUCAUCAGGUGAAAGAGGAUGAAAUUGAGAAGGGGCACUACAAUACUUUGCUCGACUUGCAUGUUUUCAAUUCUGGAAUGGUGUGAGAGGUUCCAGCAAGGAGGCUGAACAUUUUCAAUAUUCUUAUUUGAACCUUUAUUGUUGAAGAGAAAAUUUUGGAGAACACUCGUAAAGAAAAAUAUUCUACUCGGGCACCUGUGUGAAAAGGAGAAAGACAGGAGAAGGGGUGAUGACACUACUGGCGUUUGGAUCCAAAAAGUAAACUGGGCUCUAAUUCAAUCUCUACAGGUAUGCUUGAUUGUUGAACUGCCAGAUAUAGGUAACAAACAGAGUUAACUACUUGUUUUGCUCAUUUCGCUGCAUGAGAGUACUUUUGGCCCCUACAAUUCAGUAUCUCAUAUGAAUAUAUGCUGAUUGUGGGGUUUCUGUGAUGGGACAAAUUCUGAAGCUAAACAAAGUUGUAGUCUAAGUUUAAGUUUUCACUUAUGUUUCUACACAUAUAAAACAUAAGCAUCUAAUAUAGAUGUACCAAACGUUUUAUAUUGAACUAAUCAAGCAAAACUGAAACACCUAAGCUUUUUGUUUCA